CGUUCUUCCACCUCCUUGCUUCUCCUCCGGUGCCGGAUUACUCUCGACUCAAACUCUGUCUUCUCUCUGCGAACCUCUGUAACCAAAAGCUAGGGCAAAUUCUAUUGUCUUUUUUUUGGUGGCAACUAGAGGGAGAUUGACUGGAGCAGGCUUCAUUGUAAUGAAGAUUGUUACUUGGCUCAUGAGCGUUUGGCCAUUAUUGACCCCAUCUCUGGAGACCAAUCUCUCUACAACGGAGACAAGACCAUCGUUAUCACGGUCAAUGGCGAGAUAUACAACCACAAGGCUUUGCGUGAAACUGAAAGUCUGAAGUCUCACAAGUACCAUACCGAGAGUGAUUGUGAAGUGCUUGCCCAUCUUGUAAGUACCAUUUCUUGCUUCCGUAGAUAGAUAGAUCUUGUGUGUGUUUCUGCAUUUCUAUGAGCAAAUGAUGAUUCCGUCUACUUUUAUGUAUACAUUUACCUGUGUUCUUAGAUUAUUUUGUGUACUUGAGUGAGUAACAACAACAAUGAUCUCUAAAAACAAACUUGUGUUGAGAAUAUUUUAUAAAAUUUUUUAAGAACUAUAAUUAAGAGACUUGCAA